rnacentral:rRNA from 1 species
AUUGAACGCUGGCGGCAUGCUUUACACAUGCAAGUCGAACGGCAGCGCGGGCUUCGGCCUGGCGGCGAGUGGCGAACGGGUGAGUAAUACAUCGGAACGUGCCCAGUAGUGGGGGAUAGCUCGGCGAAAGCCGGAUUAAUACCGCAUACGACCUGAGGGUGAAAGCGGGGGAUCUUCGGACCUCGCGCUAUUGGAGCGGCCGAUGGCAGAUUAGCUAGUUGGUGGGGUAAAGGCCUACCAAGGCGACGAUCUGUAGCUGGUCUGAGAGGACGACCAGCCACACUGGGACUGAGACACGGCCCCGACUCCUACGGGAGGCAGCAGUGGGGAAUUUUGGACAAUGGGCGAAAGCCUGAUCCAGCAAUGCCGCGUGUGUGAUGAAGGCCUUCGGGUUGUAAAGCACUUUUGGCGGGAACGAAAAGGACUGUGCCAAUACCACGGUUCGAUGACGGUACCCGCAGAAUAAGCACCGGCUAACUACGUG